rnacentral:rRNA from 1 species
AGAACGAACGCUGGCGGCAUGCCUAACACAUGCAAGUCGAACGAGACCUUCGGGUCUAGUGGCGCACGGGUGCGUAACGCGUGGGAAUCUGCCCUUCGGUUCGGAAUAACAGUUAGAAAUGACUGCUAAUACCGGAUAAUGACGUAAGUCCAAAGAUUUAUCGCCGAGGGAUGAGCCCGCGUAGGAUUAGCUUGUUGGUGGGGUAAUGGCCCACCAAGGCGACGAUCCUUAGCUGGUCUGAGAGGAUGAUCAGCCACACUGGGACUGAGACACGGCCCAGACUCCUACGGGAGGCAGCAGUGGGGAAUAUUGGACAAUGGGCGCAAGCCUGAUCCAGCCAUGCCGCGUGGAUGAUGAAGGCCUUAGGGUUGUAAAGUCCGUUUUAACGGGAAGAUAAUGACGGUACCGUAGAAUAAGCCCCGGCUAACUUCGUGCCAGCAGCCGC